rnacentral:rRNA from 1 species
UAAAACAUUUUUUAUUGUUGAAGUAUGGGAGACAGAAGAAAACUAAUCAAGCAAUAGUUUAUCAGCGGUAGCGUGAGUGAAUGUUGGGGAGCAACAGAAAAGUACCAGUGGUGGGCGCUCGUACCUUUUGCAUCAUGGCUUUACUACUUUUUAUUCUUAGGGAGAAUCCCGAAGGUUUUGUGAUCUACUCUUCUUCUUAGGGUUGGCGUAGGAUAGCUAUCCGUAGAUAGAAAGGUAGUGGCGAAAUACCUAUCGCACAAACCGAUAGCUGGUUGUUCUAGAAAUAUAUCUAAGUAUAGCUUUUAUAGGAAACACAUGUUAAAAGCAAAUUUGGCUCAUUGAGGCCCCAACCCUCCUGGGGUUGGGGCCCCGAAGCAAGAUGUUUACUGUAAAAAGAUGGCUUUUUCAGGAUAAGCUGGGAAAGCUUUAUUUAAAGGUGGCUAGUGAAGUGUGAAAGAUUAUGUAGGUGGGUUUUAAGGAACUAUCUUUUUAGAGUGGGUUUGACUACACAAGUGUAUUUAUAUAAAAAUAAUAAUUUGUUUACCUUUUAGUAGUAUGGAACUAUUUUACGAAACGUGGGGAGUAAAAGAAAUAAUGUAAAGAUGAGUAGUUGAAAGGCUAUAAAGUGCUUUUUGUUUCAGGGAAUAGGGCAAUAAAGAAAAAAGAGAUGGUAAUCAAAGCUAAAGGAACUCGGCAAAGUAGGGGACCGCCUGUUUAUCAAAAACAUGGCCCCUCGACCAUCAUGGGAGGUCGUGCCUUCCCGGUGAGCUUUCGAGCUUAAACGGACGCGGUAAAUCGUGCAAAGGUAGCUAAAUUAUGGCCUAUUAAUUGUAGGUCCUGUGAAUGGUUUGACGAGCUCCCGACUGUCUCUAGUUUGGUUUAGUGAACUUGAAUUGGAUGUGCAAAUGCUUCCAUGGGAAAGAAAGACGAGAAGACCCCGUGAAGUUAGAAAUUUUAGCUGUAAGCGUUAAGUUCUUAGGCUGAUAGGCCGGUUUGAUAGCAGUGAAGCUAUAAAGUAAGUUAGUACAGCGGUAGUUUUGGCUGGGGCAGCAAAAGAGCAAAGCUAGACUCUUUUAGAUAAGAAGCGGGUGCGCUACGAUCCACAUGAACUUUUAGUCUUGUGAUAAGGAGAACAAGUUACUCCGGGGAUAACAGCGUUAUCCGUCUUGAUAGUUCUUAUAGAUAGGCGGGUUUGCGACCUCGAUGUUGGCUCUGGGUACCCUUGGGCUUGCAGGCGGUUCUUAGGGUUGGUUCGUUCGCCCAUUAAUACCCGACGUGAGCUGAGUUCAGAUCGGUGAAAGCUAGGUCGGUUUCUAUCUUCUUUCUGGGAAAUUUAGGUUUUUAGGUACGAAAGGACAAUCAAUUUUAGGAUAAUUUCUGGGAGAUUCUUGAAGUAAAAAUAA